CACUUGAUCUUAAUUAUUCAUCGAAGUCGUAGAACAAUCCCACUUCAUGGACCUCUCAAUAGCCAUUUUCCACUUGGAAUAUCUGAGAUCUCUCUCUGAAACACAAAAUGAGUGAUGUAAAUUCGAAAUUAUUAGGUGAAAACUUGGUUAUCUGAGAUGCAUCUACGUCGUUUAUGUCGAUUAAACCUGCACCAAUACCAGCUAGAAUGGCAGCACCUAAAGCCGUGGUCUCGACCAUGUUUGGUCUCACUGUUCAACAUAAUUAUUUGCUUGAUACACAAUCAACAAAUAAAACAAAUGUUGUCUCAACAUAAA